AAAUUGGCGGAUGUUGUCAAACGAGCUAUAGAACAACAGUACAAAGGACGAAGAAAGAGAAAAAUUUCUGAAGGGAGUGAAGAACUUGAAUUAAAACGACCUCAUGAGGAAAGCUUGGUAAAAAAAGAGGACUGUUAAAUAGGAAUUUAACAUUUAGUUUUCAGUUUGUAAACAAAACAACAUGGAAAGCAGUGUCUGAAGAAAGCAAAUCUUUCGGGAUGCACUCAUCUCUUAUUGGGCAAUGGAACGGCAGCGGAGCCAAUCAGAUGAAGGAAUGAGACUCUUGGAAUUCCGCUAAAGAUGAGGCGAUUAAGUGUAAGGCUGAUAAGCCGAAGACAAAAUAUAAAAACUUUUCGUUUAUGUUGGCAUCAGUCUGAUUUUCAUCCUUGCCGCGGGCUUU